GGGUCAGUAGGUUGGUCGUGCCACCGGUACGUACUGGUCUCAAUGAUUCCUCCUUCCUGAAUAACCGUAAUGCCAUUAAUUUGGUGUUGCGGGUAAACAGGACUGUUACUUUGAAAAAAUUAGAGUGUUUAAAGCAAGCUAACGCUUGAAUACAUUAGCAUGGAAUAAUGAAAUAGGACGAUCGAUCCUAUUUUGUUGGUUUCUAGGAUUGACGUA
rnacentral:rRNA from 1 species